ensembl:misc_RNA Metazoa_SRP Metazoan signal recognition particle RNA
GCAGGGCGUGGUGGCGCGUGCCUGUAGUCCCAGCUACUCAGGAGGCUGAGGUGGGAGGAUCACUUGAGCACAGGAGUUCUGGGCUGUAGUGUGUUAUGCCAAUUGGGUGUCUGCAGUAAGUUCGACAUCAAUAUUGUGACCUCCCGGGAGCAAGGGACCACCAGGUUGCCUAAGGAGGGGUAAACCAGCCCAGGUUGGAAGCGGAGCAGGUCAAAACUCCAGUGCUGAUCAGUAGUGGGAUCACGCCUGUGAAUAGCCACUGCACUCUAGCCUGGGCAACAUAGCCAGACCCCUCCUCUU